rnacentral:rRNA from 1 species
AGUGAACGCUGGCGGUAGGCCUAACACAUGCAAGUCGAACGGCAGCACAGUAAGAGCUUGCUCUUACGGGUGGCGAGUGGCGGACGGGUGAGGAAUACAUCGGAAUCUACUUUUUCGUGGGGGAUAACGUAGGGAAACUUACGCUAAUACCGCAUACGACCUACGGGUGAAAGCAGGGGAUCUUCGCACCUUGCGCGAUUGAAUGAGCCGAUGUCGGAUUAGCUAGUUGGCGGGGUAAAGGCCCACCAAGGCGACGAUCCGUAGCUGGUCUGAGAGGAUGAUCAGCCACACUGGAACUGAGACACGGUCCAGACUCCUACGGGAGGCAGCAGUGGGGAAUAUUGGACAAUGGGCGCAAGCCUGAUCCAGCCAUACCGCGUGGGUGAAGAAGGCCUUCGGGUUGUAAAGCCCUUUUGUUGGGUAAGAAAAGCAGCAGGUUAAUACCCCGCUGUUCUGACGGUACCCAAAGAAUAAGCACCGGCUAACUUCGUG